rnacentral:rRNA from 1 species
GAUGAACGCUGGCGGCGUGCCUAAUACAUGCAAGUCGAGCGAAGAGGGGACGGGUGAGUAUAACGUGGGUAAACUCCCAUAUGACUGGGAUAAACUAGGGAAACCGGAGCUAAACCGGAUAAUUAUAGAUGGAUGCACUCGGCAUUAGCUAGUUGGUGAGGUAACGGCUUACCAAGGCAACGAUGCAUAGCCGACCUGAGAGGGUGACCGGCCACACUGGAACGGAGACACGGUCCAGACUCCUACGGGAGGCAGCAGUGGGGAAUCUUCCGCAAUGGGCGAAAGCCUGACGGAGCAACGCCGCGUGAGUGAUGAAGGUCUUCGGGUCGUAAAGCUCUGUUAUUAGGGAAGCGGUACCUACUCAGAAAGCCACGGCUAACUACGUGCCAGCAGCCGCGGUAAUUC